UAACUGUUGUCAAUAUAUUUA
rnacentral:siRNA from 1 species